rnacentral:lncRNA from 1 species
UUGGUGAUCAUCUGAUGCCGAUACAAACUGAUGUUUGGGUCCAGAUAUCAGCCAAGAUGACUUGUUGCUUGGUCUGUGGAAUUGAUGAUGAAACCAAUAUCCAAUACAAUGACUUUGGUUGACAAUUGUUAGUCUAAACCUAUGUAUAAAUAUUAGUAAUAUGAGGCUGAGGAACUGUAAAAGAGUCAAAAUGUGGGUGUGAACACAAAAAAGAGACUACCAAACAAAUGGAAAUGGACAGAGAUCGGGGAGGCUAAGGAAGUCAAUAUGGUGAAAGGAGGAGCAAUUAUGAAUGGAAGCAUGGUGAAAAAGAAGUGUAAUAACAUCUGUGUAUGGAGUCUUAAUCAUUUUAGACUAGUAAAAAUUUAGCUUUAUGUUCAAGACUAUAGAAACAUAUGCAAAAAAAUAAGGAGGAUGCUUUGGACAGUUAACACGUGGAGGAGAGCCAUAUAAAUACAACUGAAUAGUCAGAAUAUUAAAGUAGUGAAAAGCCCCAACAAGGGGAGGAGAAAGGCCUGCUGUGGCUCAGAAAAUAUAGUGUUUGUUAUGGUAAACUAUGAGGAAGGCAACUCAAAUAAAGAUUAGCAGAAAAUAGAGAGUGAACAAUUUCAAGGAUAUAGUGGCACUUUAAACUGCCAAUUUGUCAAUUUGUGUGCUGACAUGUAAGCUGAGUUAAUGGUGCAUUUAGAAAGGAGUAAAAACUGGAUCUUAGGACAGGUACUAAACUAUAAAUUAUGUUGAUGGUGCUUAAAUUAAAAAUAUGCAAAGCACAAAUCCUGAAAAUAUAAUUAAAUUUCUUAAAUGGAAUGAAUUUCAGUAAUAUUGUUGACAGUACAUUAAUAAGAAGAGUAACUAUUGGCCUUUUAUUCUGGAAAAAAGAUUCCAAAUGGUGAUGAUUCUAUUGAAUAACCAAGUCUUGUCACGCCUCCGUCCCAAGAUGACAAGCUAGGGGUCAUGGCAAUCAUCGCACACUCAUAGAAAACUUUUCUCAUAAGCAUGCAAGGUCAUGAUAUCUUGAACAGACAGCAGAAUAAAAAGAAAGAUUGAAUUAUUAAUGCUCAAACCUUAAUUCAAAUAACUAAAAUCAAAACUGAAUGUUAAUGAAAUCAAAAUAAAUGUUUGACAAAGUCAAUAUUAACAAGGUCUUUCAUCAACUCUGAUAAUCCUAAAUCAAAUAAAGUAGGCUAACUCCAUCUAUAAUCGCAUUUCCAUAAUGAAACCCCACGUCAAGCUAAUUUUUGAAUCUGUAAAAAAAAUAAGAAAUUCAUCGUGAGCUAAACAACAAAGUAGGCAAUGAAUACCUCUAACUAAAUAAAUCAGGC